UUUAAAUGUAAAUUUUUGAACUAAAUUAGUAAUAGAUAUGAUCUUCAAAUUUAAAGAUUUUGGCGGUAUUUUAGUCUAUUCAGAGGAACCUGUUCUGUAAUUGAUAGUCCACGAUUAACUUUACUUAAUUUUAAAAAUUUGUAUAUCGUUGUUUAUAGAAAAUUUUAUAAGAAGAGUAAUUUUUAAUAAAUUUUAUUAAAUUAUAAAUCAAAUCAAGGUGCAGUUUAUAGUUAAGUUAGAAAUGGGUUACAAUAAAUUUAUUUAUUUAUGAAUAUGAAUUUUAAAAUUUUUAUUGAAGGUGGAUUUGAUAGUAAUAUUAUUUAAUUUAAUAAUAUGAUUAUAGCUCUAAAAUAUGU
rnacentral:rRNA from 1 species